rnacentral:rRNA from 1 species
AUUGAACGCUGGCGGCAUGCCUUACACAUGCAAGUCGAACGGACUUCGGUCUGGUGGCGAGUGGCGAAUGGGUGAGUAAUGUAUCGGAACGUGCCCAGUCGUGGGGGAUAACGUAGUGAAAAUUACGCUAAUACCGCAUACGAUCUAUGGAUGAAAGCGGGGGAUCGCAAGACCUCGCGCGAUUGGAGCGGCCGAUAUCAGAUUAGGUAAUUGGUGGGGUAAAGUCCCACCAAGACAACGAUCUUUAACUGGUCUGAGAGGACGACCAGCCACACUGGAACUGAGACACGGUCCAGACUCCUACGGGAGGCAGCAGUGGGGAAUUUUGGACAAUGGGCGCAAGCCUGAUCCAGCCAUUCCGCGUGCAGGAUGAAGGCCCUCGGGUUGCAAACUGCUUUUGUACAGAACGAAAAGGUUUCUACUAAUACUAGGAGCUCAUGACGGUACUGUAAGAAUAAGCACCGGCUAACUACGUGCCAGCCGCCGCAGUAA